ACUAUGCAAUUCAGACAUGGUUAUUUCUUCAAUGGACAUUUCUUUCCAGAAUUGUAUGGUUGGUUGCAACUGUGCUCAUCAAAUCUAGGAGCGCCUCAACACACAUUUUGCUACACACACUAAGUCUAGAAUCAAGUAAUUGAAAACUCAAUCAAAUGAUUAUAGAGUACCUUCUUGAAAUCAAGAAAAUAAUUGACCUUCUUGCUGUAGUUAGCUCUCCUCUCACCAUGGAUGAACUUGUAGAUGCUAUCUUGGAUGGGAUUAAUUCAGAUUACAAAGUGUUUCGUAUUUUUGUUCCUGAUCGCAAAGAGCCUUGGACCAUUGCUGAACUCGAACCCUUCCUUACGACUUAGGAAGAGUGCAUGAUCAACUUGAACUUCCCUGGUCCAAGCCAUCCUCACGCAAGCUCAACAUUCAACUCAACCAUCCGAAUCUUUCUUGGCAAAAAAAAAUCGUAUCAGAUGCCUAUUAUGUAGUCGUCUUGGGCAUUCGGCAUGGCAGUGCUACUUUCGUUUUCAUCUGUCAUUCAAUAAUCCAUCAUCAACAUCGUAGAAGCAAUCACCUACUCCACCGUUUGCUAUUGUUGUUAAUAUUUAUUGUUGCAGUACCAUACAUUUAAAUAGUUGAAAUAUUUAAGUAAAUUACAAAACAAAAUAAUACAAUUCAUUUAUUCAAAAAUAAAUAAAAAUUAAAUGCACAUCAAUAUUAUUCGAAAACACAAUAAUUUAUGAAAAUAUAAUCAAAAGACGGUUUCAAACUCCUUAUUUAAAUAGACUAUAUAGUAUAUUCAAGAUUGAUUUUGAGCUAUUUGCAUUACAACUCCUCCUACAUUUGCCAUCAAGGAUCUGCUGUUUAAUUUUUUUUAAAUUGUUUAAAAUUUUUUUAAAAUUUUCGAAAUAGUCUCCCCUACUAUAUGAACAUUCUAAAGUUCUCAAAUUUCAAACACAUACAUCAGCCUAUUUUUACAUUCCGCAACACAUUAUAUAAUAUAAGGAGAGAUCAUACAAUAUGUAAUUACCAUCUUUAAUCAUAAUAGCGCUAAUUAACUUAUUUCCUACAUCAAAUACGAAGCAAACACAAACAAAUUUCGCAACAGACAAAUUGAAAGGAUCUCUAUGUCCCUAAACAGAAUCAUUUCACCUCUCUCAUCUCACAACUCUAUAUACGUGUUCAAAUCUCUAUCUAAAAUACGAAAUCUAUUUUGCAAUUUAUAAAUGGUUUUCAUUUUACUUAAUUUGUCAAUUUCAAUUAAUAUUUAAUAGUACUAAAAGUCAAUUAAUUAAAAAUAAAUACCAACUUAUAUAGGCAAGAUAAUGUUUUGGUUCCUCCAAAGACAGCAAAAACUGUCCCGUUCUAAUAGUAGAUUCCAGAAAUCUACAAUUUAUCACAAACAAUGAAUGCUAGUGAGUGUGUUGCUUAGGGUUGUGCUUUGCAAUGUGCAAUUCUUAGUCCAACUUUUAAAGUACGAGAGUUUGAGGUUAUGGGCCAGAUGCACAGGGAAGUAUUGGAUCAGAUACUCAGCAAAGUAGCCUUGUUUUCCCCAAGGGCAAUGCCAUUCCAAGAUCAGUACAUAUACUGUAACUUGUAUAUGAGGUUUUUUUUUUCCUUGUUUCUGUUACAUUUUCCCCCUUUUACUGGUCCUCUGACUCUCAAGUGCAUGCAGAUUGGUCCGUUCUAAAGUACAAAAACUGAAAGAUCAAAAGUUAAAAUGAGAGUUCAUUUGAUUUUGCAUGGAAUCGUAUCUAUUGAUUCAGCAACUGCCAGGAAGAAGUUGACGUUCCAGUCUCCAAAGAAUCAGCUGCAGAAAACACCAAGAUUGGAUACCGAUGAAUCCCCUGCUGAUGGUGCUGCGCCUCCAACCUCCAAUGACAAAAGCCUGUGCAAAUUGACACUGAUACCAAGGGUCCGAAGAAAAAGGCUAAGAAAGCGAAUAUUCUUGUAGAUCAAGUGGUUUAUGGAACUAUGGAACAAGUGGAUCUCUAGAAAGCUGUAGAGGAGUUUGAAAUGGCUUUGCAAGAUCGCGGGAUGGAAGAAAACAAAAGACUUGAAAAUUUGAUGUUUAUGAAAUGCGGGUCAAAAGUGUAAUUUGGCAAAAAUUGAGGGCUUAGGAUUUAAUUCGUCAAAAAUUCAGUGGUCAAAGUGUAAUUUGUCAAAAGUUGAGAGGUCAAAAUAUAAUUUAUUAAAAGUUGAGGGGUCAAAGGUGUAAUUUGUCAAAAGUUAAGGGAUCUAUUGAGUUUGAAAAACUAAAAUAUU